rnacentral:rRNA from 1 species
CCUACGGGGGGCAGCAGUGGGGAAUAUUGGACAAUGGGGGCAACCCUGAUCCAGCCAUGCCGCGUGUGUGAAGAAGGCCCUCGGGUUGUAAAGCACUUUCAGUGAGGAAGAACGCCUGGUGGUUAAUACCCAUCAGGAAAGACAUCACUCACAGAAGAAGCACCGGCUAACUCCGUGCCAGCAGCCGCGGUAAUACGGAGGGUGCGAGCGUUAAUCGGAAUUACUGGGCGUAAAGCGCGCGUAGGUGGCUUGAUAAGCCGGUUGUGAAAGCCCCGGGCUCAACCUGGGAACGGCAUCCGGAACUGUCAAGCUAGAGUGCAGGAGAGGAAGGUAGAAUUCCCGGUGUAGCGGUGAAAUGCGUAGAGAUCGGGAGAAAUACCAGUGGCGAAGGCGGCCUUCUGGACUGACACUGACACUGAGGUGCGAAAGCGUGGGUAGCAAACAGGAUUAGAUACCCGGGUAGUC